AACUUUUUACAACGGAUCUCUUGGCUCUCGCAUCGAUGAAGAACGCAGCGAAAUGCGAUAAGUAAUGUGAAUUGCAGAAUUCAGUGAAUCAUCGAAUCUUUGAACGCAUCUUGCGCUCCUUGGUAUUCCGAGGAGCAUGCCUGUUUGAGUGUCAUUUCUAGUUCUCAACUGCGUCGAUUUCUUAUUGAUGUGGCUUGGAUGUGGGGGAUUUAGCAGGCUUUCUGUCAAAGGAGGUCGGCUCCCCUGAAAAAUACUAGUGGUAUCUGAGCUACUACAGGUGUGAUAAUUAUCUAUGCCUUCAGUAUGCUAUUGCACUGCUUCCAACGAGUGAGAACCUCUCUCUCACAUUUGACGAAUUUGACCUCAAAUCAGGUAGGACUACCCGCUGAACUUAAGCAUAUCAAUAAGCGGAGGCU
rnacentral:misc_RNA from 1 species